rnacentral:rRNA from 1 species
UUGAACGCUGGCGGCAGGCCUAACACAUGCAAGUCGAGCGGAUGAAGGGAGCUUGCUCCUGGAUUCAGCGGCGGACGGGUGAGUAAUGCCUAGGAAUCUGCCUGGUAGGGGGGGAUAACGUCCGGAAACGGGCGCUAAUACCGCAUACGUCCUGAGGGAGAAAGUGGGGGAUCUUCGGACCUCACGCUAUCAGAUGAGCCUAGGUCGGAUUGGCUAGUUGGUGGGGUAAAGGCCUACCAAGGCGACGAUCCGUAACUGGUCUGAGAGGAUGAUCAGUCACAGUGGAACUGAGACGCGGGCCAGACUCCGACGGGAGGCAGCAGUGGGGAAUAUGGGACAAGGGGCGAAAGCCUGAUCCAGCCAUGCCGCGUGUGUGAAGAAGGUCUUCGGAUUGUAAAGCACUUUAAGUUGGGAGGAAGGGCAGUAAGUUAAUACCCUGCUGUUUUGACGUUACCAACAGAAUAAGCACCGGCUGACUUCGUG